GAUGAACGCUGGCGGCGUGCCUAAUACAUGCAAGUCGAGCGAACAGACGAGGAGCUUGCUCCUCUGACGUUAGCGGCGGACGGGUGAGUAACACGUGGUUAACCUACCUAUAAGACUGGGAUAACUUCGGGAAACCGGAGCUAAUACCGGAUAAUAUAUUGAACCGCAUGGUUCAAUAGUGAAAGACGGUUUUGCUGUCACUUAUAGAUGGAUCCGCGCCGCAUUAACUAGUUGGUAAGGUAACGGCUUACCAAGGCAACGAUGCGUAGCCGACCUGAGAGGGUGAUCGGCCACACUGGAACUGAGACACGGUCCAGACUCCUACGGGAGGCAGCAGUAGGGAAUCUUCCGCAAUGGGCGAAAGCCUGACGGAGCAACGCCGCGUGAGUGAUGAAGGUCUUCGGAUCGUAAAACUCUGUUAUUAGGGAAGAACAAAUGUGUAAGUAACUAUGCACGUCUUGACGGUACCUAAUCAGAAAGCCACGGCUAACUACGUG
rnacentral:rRNA from 1 species